AACGAACGCUGGCGGCAUGCCUAACACAUGCAAGUCGAACGAGAUCUUCGGGUCUAGUGGCGCACGGGUGCGUAACGCGUGGGAAUCUGCCCUUUGGUUCGGAAUAACAGUUGGAAACGACUGCUAAUACCGGAUGAUGACGAAAGUCCAAAGAUUUAUCGCCAGAGGAUGAGCCCGCGUAGGAUUAGCUAGUUGGGGUGGUAAAGGCGCACCAAGGCGACGAUCCUUAGCUGGUCUGAGAGGAUGAUCAGCCACACUGGGACUGAGACACGGCCCAGACUCCUACGGGAGGGAGCAGUGGGGAAUAUUGGACAAUGGGCGAAAGCCUGAUCCAGCAAUGCCGCGUGAGUGAUGAAGGCCUUAGGGUUGUAAAGCUCUUUUACCCGGGAUGAUAAUGACGGUACCGGGAGAAUAAGCUCCGGCUAACUCCGUGCCAGCAGCCGCAGUAA
rnacentral:rRNA from 1 species